GUAACGUAUUACAAAAAGGCCUACGCUGUGACUGUCCCGGGUCCGGUACUCUGGUCUGAUCUCGAAGGCAUAUCAUGUUCAAUAAUGUGCCGUUCACUUAAUUUUGACCUACUAGAUAUAAAUAGGCCUACACCAUUUCGUGAAAAGUGGUAAAUGGGAUCAGCAUUAGUAAAACUGCUUAUAUGGAUAAUAUUUGCUUACCUGAGAAUAUUCCAUUAGGCUUAGUGUUGUCACAAUCGCCCAGCGUCUUUUGACAGAUAGCACGCGCGCCGCAUCCAAAACAAACGUUAUCAUUUAGACGCUUUGCACCAAAGGUUUGAUCAAAACAUUCAAGACGCGUAUCUGUCAAAAAUCAAACAUGGCAGACGACAAACGACUUGUUUACAUGGUCAACGCAGCUAAAAAGCGACAUUUUUCUUGCGUGAUAUGCAAGUUUUCCACUAAAAGAAAAGAUUCUUAUAGAAAGCACGAAGAGAGUAGUAAACACCAAGGAAACUUGAAGGUAGCUCAGACAAUAGGUGCCAGUAAUUAUGAGCAAUACCCUGAAAACACAUACUCUAGUGACUUUUCAGAAGAUGAAAAUGUCAACUGGAGUUGUGCUGAACCAGAUAUUGAUGUUGUUGAGGAUAUCACACUUAAUGCUGAAAGAGAUGAUGCACCAACAGAGCAAGAUGAUGUACCAACAGAGCAAGAUGAUGCACCAACAGAGCAAGAUGAUGUACCAACAGAGCAAGAUGAUGCACCAACAGAGCAAGAUGAAUGGAAACCAUUCUCUUCAAAAGCACAUUUUUACCUAUGUGUUUUAAGUGGUUCAAAAACUCACCAUGUUAGUGAUGAAAUUUUGAAAUUCAUUAUAUAUAUGAUGAAGAGUUGUGGCACACCAGGAGUUCCUUCUUUCAAAAAAGUGAAGAACAUUUGGUCGGAUGAUUUGGACAUUGAUAAAAUGCUGAAAAAGAAUACAGACAAGGAUGGAAAUAUUAGCUGGAUGAUCAAGCCUAUGGAAAUUUUAAAACUGCAAAUUUCCAAUCCUAAAACAGCAAAGAAAAUAGCCAGAUAUCCAACAGUUGAAACAACUAUUGCUUGUCACAGACAGUCUGGUGCUGCUAAAUGGAUGCAAGAUAUCAACUUCCCUUGGGCAAAGAUUGGUGACACCACUUUGCUGCAGAAUAUGUUUGUAAGAUUUGAAUGUGAAGGACAAGAAAACCUUGGGCAGAUCAAGAAGUUCAUGGAUGAUAUUGAGAAUGACAAACUGCUUGCAGAGUUAGAAAUAUUCUGUUAUAACACUGAUGAAAACAAUGGGACUCCAUGGUCCCCAUUACAUAGCAUCCAGAUGCAGCUGGCUGGGCUUCCUCUCAAGGAAAAAAGAAAAGGAUCCAGCACACUAUAUCUAGCAUCAUCAGAUACAGUUGGGAUCCUUGAUAUGAUGGCACCCGUAUGUGCGGACAUUGAAGAAAGCAAAAGCUCUGCUGUAGAUGCAUUUGAUGCAGAAAAUUUAGCACCAGUUGUCCUCUGCUCACAGGUAUCAUUACUUGUGACAGAUUACCACAUGAUGAGCCAUGCCUGUAAUCACAGUGGACCAUCAGCAACAAAAUAUUGUCCGAAGUGUAUGGCUGACAAAACGGAUCCUUUGCGAAAAAGUGAGCUGAGGACUCCAAACAAGACUCAGCGCAUAUUACAUCGUAUGAAUAUCAUGACAAAUACAAAAACACUGCAAAAAGAAACUGGGGUUAAACCAUAUGGAAAUCCUCUGUGGAAAUACAUAAACCCUCAUAGAGACACACCAAUUGGAGUACUCCACUUUCUAUAUCUAGGACUAGCAAAGCACUUAAUAAAGUUAUGCUAUGAGAGUCUGAGUCCUCAAAAAAAAGACGAGCUGAAAGUUCACCUCGACAGCAUCGAUCAAACUGGUUUCAGCUACAAAGUUUCAGCAAAAUCCAUGCUACAGUACCUGGACAGUAGGCAAGGCAAAGACUUCAAGCACUAUGCAUCCUCCAGGUCAUCAGGUGGUUAGUGAAGGAUGCUGUAAUGAAGUGGCCAGAUACCUUGGAAACCAAGAUGAUGAGGGGCACGACCAUCACAGAAGAGGUUUAAGACUGAUGGACAGAUUACCUAGCGGCAAGCCAAAUGACAAGUCAUCAGAUCCUGUGAUCCAGGUGCAAGCCCUGCAAGCCGCUCUAGCUUGUGGAGGGGAUAUUUCCUUGCAUGAACAAGGGGUUGUUCACACUUUCAGAGGUGUUAAGACUGCCAGUGGCAGAGAUGCUAAGGUUGGACAGUUUGUGACUUACAAUGAAGAUGGUGAGGAGCUUGUGGGACGUUUAAGGACAUUGAUGGAAGGCAAUCAGUGUAGGGCUGCAGAGAUUGAGAGGUGCCGUAGGAAUGAUCUCCAAAGAGUUGAAGUGUCUCGGGAAACUCCUAUUUGGAAAGACAUAAAAUCACUUAUAGAACCACUGCACUGUGUUCAUUCAUGUCGGGAUGCAAAUUGUGCAGUUCAGGAAUUACAAGUAUCAAGAAAAACAGAACAAGAAUUCACAACAAAGAUAUGCAAGACAAUCAAACACAAAGACAGAGUUUAUUUCAUCAAUACAUAUCGCCUAACCCAUUCGAAAGAUUUUUAUUAGUCCUGUACAAUGUCUUUCUUCUAUCAAGUUCAUGCUACAACUGAACUCCUAUACUACAUGUCACUUGAACUUAAUACUUGUGUUAAGGGCUCAUCUUGGUGAGGGAGUGUAUCAUGUGUCAAAAGUAGGUCACUCUGACCUAUAUAUUUUUUACUUUUGACCUACAAGAUAAAAUUUGUUCAGGCUAUAUCCCUUACACUGUAAAUCAACGGAAUUCAUAUUUAAGAGUUACUUAUUGGUGAUGUAUCUUUAACAAUUAACCAAAACGAAAACAUUUUUAAGCUACUCAAAAUGAUUUAAGAAUUAAAUUCAAUAUAUUUUUUUAUGUUAUUGAGUCAUAACACGAAAAAAAAUGGAUUUUACUCGGUGGCCAAGUGGAUAAGGUGUUUGACAUUCUGCCACUAGUCCUCCACCUCUGGGUUGUGAGUUUGAAUCCCAUGUGGGGCAGUCACCAGGUACUGACCGUAGGUC